GACGAACGCUGGCGGCGUGCUUAACACAUGCAAGUCGAACGCUGAAGCUCAGCUUUUGUUGGGUGGAUGAGUGGCGAACGGGUGAGUAACACGUGAGUAACCUGCCCUCUUCUUUGGGAUAACGCCCGGAAACGGGUGCUAAUACUGGAUAUUCACUUGCCUUCGCAUGGGGGUUGGUGGAAAGGUUUGUUCUGGUGGGGGAUGGGCUCGCGGCCUAUCAGCUUGUUGGUGGGGUGAUGGCCUACCAAGGCUUUGACGGGUAGCCGGCCUGAGAGGGUGACCGGUCACAUUGGGACUGAGAUACGGCCCAGACUCCUACGGGAGGCAGCAGUGGGGAAUAUUGCACAAUGGGCGCAAGCCUGAUGCAGCGACGCCGCGUGAGGGAUGGAGGCCUUCGGGUUGUAAACCUCUUUCGCUCAUGGUCAAGCCGCGACGUGGGUUGUGGUGAGGGUAGUGGGUAAAGAAGCGCCGGCUAACUACGUGCCAGCAGCCGCGGUAAUACGUAGGGGCGCGAGCGUUGUCCGGAAUUAUUGGGCGUAAAGGGCUUGUAGGCGGUUGGUCGCGUCUGCCGUGAAAUUCUCUGGCUUAACUGGGGGCGUGCGGUGGGUACGGGCUGACUUGAGUGCGGUAGGGGAGACUGGAACUCCUGGGGUAUCGGUGGAAUGCGCAGAUAUCAAGAAGAACACCGGUGGCAAAGGCGGGUCUCUGGGUCCGUUAUUGACUCUGAGGAGCGAAAGCGUGGGGGAGCGAACAGG
rnacentral:rRNA from 1 species